UUAAGCGACUAAGCGUACACGGUGGAUGCCCUGGCAGUCAGAGGCGAUGAAGGACGUGCUAAUCUGCGAUAAGCGUCGGUAAGGUGAUAUGAACCGUUAUAACCGGCGAUUUCCGAAUGGGGAAACCCAGUGUGAUUCGUCACACUAUCAUUAACUGAAUCCAUAGGUUAAUGAGGCGAACCGGGGGAACUGAAACAUCUAAGUACCCCGAGGAAAAGAAAUCAACCGAGAUUCCCCCAGUAGCGGCGAGCGAACGGGGAGCAGCCCAGAGCCUGAAUCAGUGUGUGUGUUAGUGGAAGCGUCUGGAAAGGCGCGCGAUACAGGGUGACAGCCCCGUACACAAAAAUGCACAUACUGUGAGCUCGAUGAGUAGGGCGGGACACGUGGUAUCCUGUCUGAAUAUGGGGGGACCAUCCUCCAAGGCUAAAUACUCCUGACUGACCGAUAGUGAACCAGUACCGUGAGGGAAAGGCGAAAAGAACCCCGGCGAGGGGAGUGAAAAAGAACCUGAAACCGUGUACGUACAAGCAGUGGGAGCACGCUUAGGCGUGUGACUGCGUACCUUUUGUAUAAUGGGUCAGCGACUUAUAUUCUGUAGCAAGGUUAACCGAAUAGGGGAGCCGAAGGGAAACCGAGUCUUAACUGGGCGUUAAGUUGCAGGGUAUAGACCCGAAACCCGGUGAUCUAGCCAUGGGCAGGUUGAAGGUUGGGUAACACUAACUGGAGGACCGAACCGACUAAUGUUGAAAAAUUAGCGGAUGACUUGUGGCUGGGGGUGAAAGGCCAAUCAAACCGGGAGAUAGCUGGUUCUCCCCGAAAGCUAUUUAGGUAGCGCCUCGUGAAUUCAUCUCCGGGGGUAGAGCACUGUUUCGGCAAGGGGGUCAUCCCGACUUACCAACCCGAUGCAAACUGCGAAUACCGGAGAAUGUUAUCACGGGAGACACACGGCGGGUGCUAACGUCCGUCGUGAAGAGGGAAACAACCCAGACCGCCAGCUAAGGUCCCAAAGUCAUGGUUAAGUGGGAAACGAUGUGGGAAGGCCCAGACAGCCAGGAUGUUGGCUUAGAAGCAGCCAUCAUUUAAAGAAAGCGUAAUAGCUCACUGGUCGAGUCGGCCUGCGCGGAAGAUGUAACGGGGCUAAACCAUGCACCGAAGCUGCGGCAGCGACGCUUAUGCGUUGUUGGGUAGGGGAGCGUUCUGUAAGCCUGCGAAGGUGUGCUGUGAGGCAUGCUGGAGGUAUCAGAAGUGCGAAUGCUGACAUAAGUAACGAUAAAGCGGGUGAAAAGCCCGCUCGCCGGAAGACCAAGGGUUCCUGUCCAACGUUAAUCGGGGCAGGGUGAGUCGACCCCUAAGGCGAGGCCGAAAGGCGUAGUCGAUGGGAAACAGGUUAAUAUUCCUGUACUUGGUGUUACUGCGAAGGGGGGACGGAGAAGGCUAUGUUGGCCGGGCGACGGUUGUCCCGGUUUAAGCGUGUAGGCUGGUUUUCCAGGCAAAUCCGGAAAAUCAAGGCUGAGGCGUGAUGACGAGGCACUACGGUGCUGAAGCAACAAAUGCCCUGCUUCCAGGAAAAGCCUCUAAGCAUCAGGUAACAUCAAAUCGUACCCCAAACCGACACAGGUGGUCAGGUAGAGAAUACCAAGGCGCUUGAGAGAACUCGGGUGAAGGAACUAGGCAAAAUGGUGCCGUAACUUCGGGAGAAGGCACGCUGAUAUGUAGGUGAAGUGAUUUACUCAUGGAGCUGAAAUCAGUCGAAGAUACCAGCUGGCUGCAACUGUUUAUUAAAAACACAGCACUGUGCAAACACGAAAGUGGACGUAUACGGUGUGACGCCUGCCCGGUGCCGGAAGGUUAAUUGAUGGGGUUAGCGCAAGCGAAGCUCUUGAUCGAAGCCCCGGUAAACGGCGGCCGUAACUAUAACGGUCCUAAGGUAGCGAAAUUCCUUGUCGGGUAAGUUCCGACCUGCACGAAUGGCGUAAUGAUGGCCAGGCUGUCUCCACCCGAGACUCAGUGAAAUUGAACUCGCUGUGAAGAUGCAGUGUACCCGCGGCAAGACGGAAAGACCCCGUGAACCUUUACUAUAGCUUGACACUGAACAUUGAGCCUUGAUGUGUAGGAUAGGUGGGAGGCUUUGAAGUGUGGACGCCAGUCUGCAUGGAGCCGACCUUGAAAUACCACCCUUUAAUGUUUGAUGUUCUAACGUGGACCCGUAAUCCGGGUUGCGGACAGUGUCUGGUGGGUAGUUUGACUGGGGCGGUCUCCUCCUAAAGAGUAACGGAGGAGCACGAAGGUUGGCUAAUCCUGGUCGGACAUCAGGAGGUUAGUGCAAUGGCAUAAGCCAGCUUGACUGCGAGCGUGACGGCGCGAGCAGGUGCGAAAGCAGGUCAUAGUGAUCCGGUGGUUCUGAAUGGAAGGGCCAUCGCUCAACGGAUAAAAGGUACUCCGGGGAUAACAGGCUGAUACCGCCCAAGAGUUCAUAUCGACGGCGGUGUUUGGCACCUCGAUGUCGGCUCAUCACAUCCUGGGGCUGAAGUAGGUCCCAAGGGUAUGGCUGUUCGCCAUUUAAAGUGGUACGCGAGCUGGGUUUAGAACGUCGUGAGACAGUUCGGUCCCUAUCUGCCGUGGGCGCUGGAGAACUGAGGGGGGCUGCUCCUAGUACGAGAGGACCGGAGUGGACGCAUCACUGGUGUUCGGGUUGUCAUGCCAAUGGCACUGCCCGGUAGCUAAAUGCGGAAGAGAUAAGUGCUGAAAGCAUCUAAGCACGAAACUUGCCCCGAGAUGAGUUCUCCCUGACUCCUUGAGAGUCCUGAAGGAACGUUGAAGACGACGACGUUGAUAGGCCGGGUGUGUAAGCGCAGCGAUGCGUUGAGCUAACCGGUACUAAUGAACCGUGAGGCUUAACCUU
rnacentral:rRNA from 1 species